rnacentral:rRNA from 3 species
GGGUGAGUAACACGUGGGCAACCUGCCUGUAAGACUGGGAUAACUUCGGGAAACCGAAGCUAAUACCGGAUAGGAUCUUCUCCUUCAUGGGAGAUGAUUGAAAGAUGGUUUCGGCUAUCACUUACAGAUGGGCCCGCGGUGCAUUAGCUAGUUGGUGAGGUAACGGCUCACCAAGGCAACGAUGCAUAGCCGACCUGAGAGGGUGAUCGGCCACACUGGGACUGAGACACGGCCCAGACUCCUACGGGAGGCAGCAGUAGGGAAUCUUCCGCAAUGGACGAAAGUCUGACGGAGCAACGCCGCGUGAGUGAUGAAGGCUUUCGGGUCGUAAAACUCUGUUGUUAGGGAAGAACAAGUACGAGAGUAACUGCUCGUACCUUGACGGUACCUAACCAGAAAGCCACGGCUAACUACGUGCCAGCAGCCGCGGUAAUACGUAGGUGGCAAGCGUUAUCCGGAAUUAUUGGGCGUAAAGCGCGCGCAGGCGGUUUCUUAAGUCUGAUGUGAAAGCCCACGGCUCAACCGUGGAGGGUCAUUGGAAACUGGGGAACUUGAGUGCAGAAGAGAAAAGCGGAAUUCCACGUGUAGCGGUGAAAUGCGUAGAGAUGUGGAGGAACACCAGUGGCGAAGGCGGCUUUUUGGUCUGUAACUGACGCUGAGGCGCGAAAGCGUGGGGA